GGGCCCGCACAAGCGGUGGAGCAUGUGGUUUAAUUCGAUGAUACGCGAGGAACCUUACCAGGGCUUAAAUGGGAGAUGACAGGGGCAGAGACGCCCUUUUCUUCGGACAUCUUUCAAGGUGCUGCAUGGUUGUCGUCAGCUCGUGCCGUGAGGUGUCAGGUUAAGUCCUAUAACGAGCGCAACCCCUACCGUUAGUUGCCAGCGAUUCAAGUCGGGGACUCUAACGGGACUGCCGGUGCAAACCGUGAGGAAGGUGGGGACGACGUCAAAUCAUCACGGCCCUUACGUCCUGGGCUACACACGUGCUACAAUGGUCGGUACAGAGGGAAGCUACCCCGUAAGGGGAUGCGGAUCUAUAAAACCGAUCUCAGUUCGGAUCGGGGUCUGCAACUCGACCCCGUGAAGCUGGAAUCGCUAG
rnacentral:rRNA from 1 species